GGCAAUGUGGCUUAAUGGAUAAGGCUUCGGCCUCGUAAGCCGAGGAUUCAAGGUCCAAGUCCUCUCUGUGUCG
rnacentral:tRNA from 1 species